CUGCCCAAUGACACAUAGUUCAAUGGCCGCGGUACCCUGACCGUGCAAAGGUAGCAUAAUCACUUGCCCCUUAAUUAGGGGCUGGCAUGAAAGGACACCACGAAAGCUUCCCUGUCUCACAAUAAUAAAUAAAAAUUAAUCUUCAAGUGAAAAAGCUUGAAUUAAACUGCAGGACAAGAAGACCCCGUUGAGCUUUAUUCUCUAUAGACUAAACCAAAUAUUAAAUACAUUAUAAACCUAAAAAGAAUUUAGUUGGGGUGACUAAGGAACACCAAAAACUUCCUUUUAUUAAUUAGGAUCAUUCUCCAUACAAAUUGACCCAUUACACAUGAUCAAAAAAAUAAGCUACCACAGGGAUAACAGGCUAAUCUUUCUCAAGAGCCCAAAUUGUCAGAAAGGAUUGGCACCUCGAUGUUGGCUUAGGGGCCCCUAAUGGUGCAGAAGCCAUAAAUGGUAGUUUGUUCAACGUAAAACACA
rnacentral:rRNA from 1 species